CCCUACAUGCCUGAGCUUGGACCCAGCUCAAUCCGUGUUACACAAGAGGGACCUGUAGCUUGGGCAGCCUUGGCAACCUGCCAAACGGUUUGGAAUCCAACCACCAAGUUCUGCUGAACGAAUGAUUUUAUAAUCAGCUAACUCUGCCCACGAUGGAAAGCAAAGGCCAGUUUCACAGACCCAAAUACAUUUGGCCUCUGAACGACAUGGAUUUGAACUGUGAGGAUCCAUUUACAUGUGGAUUUUCUUCUGCCUCUGCCGUCCCAGAGACAGCAUGACCAGCCACUCAUCCUCCUCCUCCUCCUCAGCCCACUCAACAUGAAGACGAUGAGGAGGAAGGCCUUUCGGAUGAUCCACUUCCAUUAAACAAA
rnacentral:lncRNA from 10 species